UCUUAUGGAUGAGCAAAGAAAGUGGUUUAUUGAGAUGGAAACUACUCCUGGCGAAGAUGCUGUGAA
rnacentral:pre_miRNA from 1 species